rnacentral:rRNA from 1 species
GAUCCUGGCUCAGGAUGAACGCUAGUUACAGGCUUAACACAUGCAAGUCGAGGGGCAGCAUGUUGGUUGCUUGCAACCAAUGAUGGCGACCGGCGCACGGGUGAGUAACGCGUAUCCAACCUACCCUUGUCCAUCGGGAUAACCCGUCGAAAGGCGGCCUAACACGAUAUGCGGUUCACAGCAGGCAUCUAACGUGAACGAAAUGUAAAGGAGAAGGAUGGGGAUGCGUCUGAUUAG